GACGAACGCUGGCGGCGUGCUUAACACAUGCAAGUCGAACGGUAAGGCCCUUCGGGGUACACGAGUGGCGAACGGGUGAGUAACACGUGGGUGAUCUGCCCUGCACUUCGGGAUAAGCCUGGGAAACUGGGUCUAAUACCGGAUAGGACCAUGGACUUCACGGUUUGUGGUGGAAAGCUUUUGCGGUGUGGGAUGGGCCCGCGGCCUAUCAGCUUGUUGGUGGGGUAAUGGCCUACCAAGGCGACGACGGGGUAGCCGGCCUGAGAGGGUGUCCGGCCACACUGGGACUGAGAUACGGCCCAGGACUCCUACGGGAGGCAGCAGUGGGGAAUAUUGCACAAUGGGCGCAAGCCUGAUGCAGCGACGCCGCGUGAGGGAUGACGGCCUCGGGUUGUAAACCUCUUUCAAUAGGGACGAAGCGCAAGUGACGGUACCGUAUAGAAGAGGCACCGG
rnacentral:rRNA from 1 species